GUUCCUCUGCAGGUCUAUCUCUCUCUAUCACGUACACGAGCACUUUGCACUCGUUUAAUCUACUCAUAGUCAUAGAUAGUUAAAGAUUCAAAUUCCGAAACGAUGUAUGAUCCUCAGCAUUUCGUAGAUUUGCAAGAAAAUUCCAAGUUUGGGGACCCCAAAUCAUGGCUCUCCGGCGACGACAACUCUUCCCCGACUCUCCGACGAGUUCAGUCCCCUCUCCGCCCUCACUUCCACCUCUGCUUCCACCACUGGGGCAGCCGGCAAUGUCGAUCGCGUCCUCUACGACAAUCUCGUUGAGAUGGUCCCUCUCGUCGAGUCCCUCAUCCAUCGGAAAGCCAACAGUUCAUUUACACGGCGAGGUUCGAUGAUCUACACAAAGACGCCUUCCAGAGAAUCUUUAUAUAAAAAGAUAAAUGAUCCAAAAGAGAGGUAUACAACUCAAUCUAUACCAGCAAAAAAGAAAAAAGAACAUGGAGACAAG
rnacentral:misc_RNA from 1 species